UCAAAUAUAAAAAAUUUCAAUAUUUUUUUAUUAUAA
rnacentral:tRNA from 1 species